AAGUCGUAACAAGGUUUCCGUAGGUGAACCUGCGGAAGGAUCAUUACCGAGUUAGGGUCUUCCAGGCCCGACCUCCAACCCUGUGUCUAAACUACUAUGUUGCUUUGGCGGGCCCGCCUCUAGGGGCCGCCGGGGGUCUUACUACCCCUGGCCAGCGCCCGUCAGUAGCCUUCUGAAAACUCUUUAUAACCGUGUCGUCUGAGUAUAAAUUUAAAUCGUUAAAACUUUCAACAACGGAUCUCUUGGUUCUGGCAUCGAUGAAGAACGCAGCGAAAUGCGAUAAGUAAUGCGAAUUGCAGAAUUCAGUGAGUCAUCGAAUCUUUGAACGCACAUUGCGCCCUUUGGUAUUCCGAAGGGCAUGCCUGUUCGAGCGUCAUUAUCAACCAUCAAGCCUGGCUUGUCGUUGGACCCCCUUGUCGUCGAGAGCCGACAGGUCCGAAAGAUAAUGACGGUGUCGUGUUUGACCCUAGAUGCAACGAGCUUUUACAGCACGCAUCGAAGUGGUUGGCCGGCCCGGUCCUUCAAACCCCCCAUUUAAUAAGGUUGACCUCGGAUCAGGUAGGAAUACCCGCUGAACUUAAGCAUAUCAAUAAGCGGAGGAAAAGAAACCAACAGGGAUUACCCUAGUAACGGCGAGUGAAGCGGUAACAGCUCAAAUUUGAAAUCUGGCCUUUACAGGUCCGAGUUGUAAUUUGUAGAGGAUGUUUCGGGCAAGGCUUUGGUUUAAAUUUCUUGGAACAGAAUGUCAUAGAGGGUGAGAGUCCCGUCUAGAACCGAUCGCCGCGUCCAUGUGAAACUCCUUCGACGAGUCGAGUUGUUUGGGAAUGCAGCUCAAAAUGGGUGGUAAAUUUCAUCUAAAGCUAAAUAUUGGCCAGAGACCGAUAGCGCACAAGUAGAGUGAUCGAAAGAUGAAAAGCACUUUGAAAAGAGAGUUAAACAGUAUGUGAAAUUGUUGAAAGGGAAGCGCUUGCAACCAGACUUGCGUGUAGCGGUUCCCCCAGUCUUCUGACUGGGCUAUUCCGUUAUAUCCAGGCCAGCAUCGGUCCGGGUGGUCGGUCAAAGGCCUUGGGAAUGUAUCUACCUUCGGGUCGACUUAUAGCCCAGGGUGUAAUGCGGCCUACCUGGACCGAGGAACGCGCUUCGGCUCGGAUGCUGGCGUAAUGGUUGUAAGCGGCC
rnacentral:rRNA from 1 species